GGGCGUAUGGCGAAAUGGCAGUACGCAGUUGCCCUAGGAGCAACCGUCGAGAGACGUGGAGGUUCGAAUCCUCUUACGCCCA
rnacentral:tRNA from 1 species